AUUGAACGCUGGCGGCAGGCCUAACACAUGCAAGUCGAACGGUAGCACAGAGAGCUUGCUCUCGGGUGACGAGUGGCGGACGGGUGAGUAAUGUCUGGGAAACUGCCUGAUGGAGGGGGAUAACUACUGGAAACGGUAGCUAAUACCGCAUAACGUCGCAAGACCAAAGAGGGGGACCUUCGGGCCUCUUGCCAUCAGAUGUGCCCAGAUGGGAUUAGCUAGUAGGUGGGGUAACGGCUCACCUAGGCGACGAUCCCUAGCUGGUCUGAGAGGAUGACCAGCCACACUGGAACUGAGACACGGUCCAGACUCCUACGGGAGGCAGCAGUGGGGAAUAUUGCACAAUGGGCGCAAGCCUGAUGCAGCCAUGCCGCGUGUAUGAAGAAGGCCUUCGGGUUGUAAAGUACUUUCAGCGGGGAGGAAGGUGUUGUGGUUAAUAACCACAGCAAUGACGUACC
rnacentral:rRNA from 1 species